CUCUUCUGCCGGCCAGGGGAAUUCCUGGCAGAGUGAUUUUUAAACCUAAUGACUGAAUCACAUUGCCAGGGAUUUCCAAUGGCUCGUGUGACUCAGAG
ensembl:miRNA mir23a-2 microRNA 23a-2